rnacentral:rRNA from 2 species
AAAUUGAAGAGUUUGAUCAUGGCUCAGAUUGAACGCUGGCGGCAGGCCUAACACAUGCAAGUCGAACGGUAACAGGAAGCAGCUUGCUGCUUUGCUGACGAGUGGCGGACGGGUGA